UACGGAGGGUGCAAGCGUUUAUCCGGAUUCACUGGGUUUAAAGGGUGCGUAGGUGGGCAGGUAAGUCAGUGGUGAAAUCUCCGGGCUUAACCCGGAACUGCCGUUGAUACUAUUUGUCUUGAAUAUUGUGGAGGUAAGCGGAAUAUGUCAUGUAGCGGUGAAAUGCUUAGAUAUGACAUAGAACACCAAUUGCGAAGGCAGCUUACUACACAACGAUUGACGCUGAGGCACGAAAGCGUGGGGAUCAAACAGGA
rnacentral:rRNA from 1 species